ACACCAAACCUGCCGUUGAGAUGAAAAGCUUUUUCUUUUUCCUGGGUGUAAACGUUGAAGCGGUUCCCUGCCCCAUCUAUGGAGUGAACGCGCAAGAAGAGUCAAAACAAGGCUCAAUUACUAUUUCACAAGUGCAGAAGUGACAUCUCGUUUGAGAAAAACCUUGCCCCGUUCCAAACAAGCAACGUGGGACAGAGCCAGAACACGGCCAGCACCCCCAAAGCACCACCGCGGCGACACAGGACUCCUCUGCUCUACCACCAAGGACUCCAGUGAUAGAUGGCCACAUCACUUGCUUCAGUCAGAGUCCUUGAGAAAGGAUCCAGCCAUUUAAAAAGACUUUUCCUUGACAUCUGAUAUCUCUCCGGUGGAAAAAAAAAAGUAUACUAGUUUGCACUGAAUUCAGCAUGCUCCAAGUUCAUUUAUAUGUAAUCCGUAAUACUCUUUGUAGCUUAAAUCAAGUAUCUUGAAUGCAAGUUAUAGCCCAUUCAGUAUUAAAAAUAAUAAACUAGCUGCAUGUGUAUUAGCUGCCAAGAAAAUGGAGCUAGAAGUUUGUAUACUUACAAUUCUCUCAGAAAUCAGACUCAUUAAUAUAGCUGUUACAAAAGGACACACUUUCACAGAAACAGGGAUUACCUUUAUCUGUUACCAUGGCAACUUUUCAGUAGUUUGUGUUAAUGCUACUCUCCUUCUGAUAACUUGCCACUAUCUCUUUCAAGCUAUUUGUAUAAGGUUUUGAAUGUGCCAUCUGAGACCAUAAAGUAACAAGAAGUUGAAA